rnacentral:rRNA from 1 species
GACGAACGCUGGCGGCGCGCUUAACACAUGCAAGUCGAACGGAAAGGCCUGCUUUCCCUUGUGGAUUGCGGGUACUCGAGUGGCGAACGGGUGAGUAACACGUGAGUGAUCUGCCCCCAACUUGGGUAUAAGCCUGGGAAACUGGGUCUAAUUCCCGAUAGGACUGCAGGGUGGUGCCUGUGGUGGAAAACGAUUUUCUAGUGGUUGGGGAUGAGCUCGCGGCCUAUCAGCUUGUUGGUGGGGUAAUGGCCUACCAAGGCGGCGACGGGUAGCCGGCCUGAGAGGGUGGACGGCCACAUUGGGACUGAGAUACGGCCCAGACGCCUACGGGAGGCAGCAGUGGGGAAUAUUGCACAAUGGGCGGAAGCCUGAUGCAGCGACGCCGCGAGGGGGAUGACGGCCUUCGGGUUGUAAACUCCUUUCGACCGCGAGGAAGCCACCUGGUUGGAAGGGUGGUGACGGUAGUGGUAGAAGAAGCACCGGCUAACUACGUG